rnacentral:misc_RNA from 1 species
GUAACAAGGUUUCCGUAGGUGAACCUGCGGAAGGAUCAUUAUCAAAACAGCGGACUUCGGUCCUUGCUGCACCCUUGUCUUUUGCGUACCGUAUGUUUCCUCGGCGGGCUUGCCUGCCGGUUGGACAUUAUCAAACCUUUUUGUAGUUGCAAUCAGCGUCAGAAAACAAACAAUAAUUACAACUUUCAACAACGGAUCUCUUGGUUCUGGCAUCGAUGAAGAACGCAGCGAAAUGCGAAAAGUAGUGUGAAUUGCAGAAUUCAGUGAAUCAUCGAAUCUUUGAACGCACAUUGCGCCCCUUGGUAUUCCAUGGGGCAUGCCUGUUCGAGCGUCAUUUUGUACCCUCAAGCACUGCUUGGUGUUGGGCGUUUGUCCUGCAAAGGACUCGCCUGAAAGCGAUUGGCGGCCAACGUACUGGUGGUAGAGCGCAGCACAAUUUGCGUCUCUCCCCUCUGCGUCGGCGUCCAUGAAGCCUUUUUUCAACGUUUGACCUCGGAUCAGGUAGGGAUACCCGCUGAACUUAAGCAUAUCAAUAA